UUCAACUCAUGACUGGUUGAAUUUUGAUGGAUUCCAGGUUGCAAGAGUAAAGGAAGGAUGGAUGAGGUCCUGGACGGAAAAUGUGGAAAUUAAAAAGAAGUUUCCCCUCUUAACUCUGCUUACCAUUCUCUCAUUUAACUCCACAGAAUUUAGUUUUUAUUUUGUUCUCAUUUGUUUGGAGGAGUUAUUAAGUUAGAAAGCAGAUAACAAAAUAGUCCAGCAACUCGAUCAACAAAAUUUUCAUUUAUCAUUGGGCAUUUUUUGUUAAAGUAAACUGU
rnacentral:lncRNA from 1 species